rnacentral:rRNA from 1 species
UACGUAGGGGGCUAGCGUUGUCCGGAUUUAUUGGGCGUAAAGAGCGUGUAGGCGGCCAGGUAGGUCUGGUGUGAAAACUCGAGGCUUAACCUCGAGAUGUCAUCGGAAACCAUCUGGCUAGAGUCCGGAAGAGGAGAGUGGAAUUCCUGGUGUAGCGGCGAAAUGCGCAGAUAUCAGGAAGAACACCAAUGGCGAAAGCAGCUCGCUGGGACGGUACUGACACUGAGGCGCGAAAGCGUGGGGAGCGAACAGG